CGCGUCGCCGUCCCGUCCAGUGCUGUCGCCGUGUCACUCGCGUUGUCCUCGCCGUACAAGUCACGAGAGUCCGGCACGCCGCCGUUGUCCGUUUGAAUUUUUCUCGGUCCGCGAUCCGUCAGACUGCGUGAUUUAUCACGGGCACCGUAGUCGAAUCAUCGAACGUCUUCGGUUCUUGUAAUAUUUUUUUUUCGUUUCGCCGAGAUUCACGACAUUGCGAAUUUUUCGCGAGUGCGAUCCGUUUACGUCCCGCGCCAACGUUCCCGAAACCGGUCCGAAGUCAUGGCCCGAAUCCGCAGCCGUUUGCCGCCGCUGUUGGCCUGGUCCAUUCUGUUCGCCGCCGUUCUAUCAGGUAAAAUUACGAUUGUUAUUAUGUCGGUACGGUUUUUGUUAUUUUUGCGUGUCGUUUUCCGAUUUACGAAAGGUAGGCCGGUCGACACGCUCGGGUUUUCCCCCGGGCUUCGGCCGUACGACGAGUACCAGUCGCGACACUAUUAGUUCCAAAUAAAGUACACAACCUCUUUGGUUUUUUUUUCUCCCCCAUCGACUAGGUACCGUCAGGCGCGUAGCCCGCGGGCGAUCCGUUCGUAUCGAUAAGAUCGUAAUAAUAUUUCAGUCUUAUUUAUUCUCAUUGCAUACCCGUGAUCUUGUUACGCGGGUCCAGAGGGUUUUUCCAUUUUUUUUCCCCCGUUUAAUUUCGAUAAUAUUCCGAAACUUUUUCGCGUUUUUUAUUUGCGCGGUUCACGCGGGUUUUUCGUCGAUCCGCCGCUAAACCGCGUAGGCGGUCAAUAAGAGUCAUAAUCCGACCGGACGCAUUAGAAAAAAAAAUAAUUUGCUGCCUUUUUCUUUUUUACAUUUUUUCCUUGCGUAUACGAUUAUCAAUUCACUAGGUCCGCGAACGGUAUUUCCGGACGUUUGAAUUUUUAACGGACGGGUUUUCGACGACCGCCGCGGUACGACAGGUAACCCGGCUACGACGCGGUAAAAAAAAAAAAAAAUAUGCCGUUAGGGUUACCGAUUCAUCUCAAACGUGUUUAAUGUAAUCGAUUCGUCUUUGGCGCGUUGUCCGUCCAAAUAUCGCGUCGUGUUUGAAUAUUACCAGGGUGGUUGAAACUUUUUAUAAUUCGCAUUUUUAACGGCAGGACAAUAAAUCGUUUAUCCUAAAAAACCGUUCGAAUCGACGCGUUCAACUCCGGUUUUCGGGACAACGGGGCGGGGGGGAGGCGUGGGGGAAAUAUCAAAACUUCGAAAAACGUCCGUGAUAAAACCUCACGGCCAAGAGCCACAGUUCAGCGGUAAUCCAUAUAUAUAUAUACGGCUUGAAGUGCUUCUUUGGAAAAAACAAAAAAAAUUUUAAAAAUGCGCUCGUAACAAAACGGGAAAUCGCGAAAUGUCAUCGUUCGUUUGGGACCUUAUAAACCGCAGGUGGGUAGGCACAGCGGCGUUGUCGUUUGAAGGGUCUUUUGAUAAUUGGUCGUUUGCGGUCCUCGCGAAAACCGGUGGGUCGCGCGGUAAGCUUUGAGAUCGGGUCGCGAUAAGCCUUUUGUUUAGAAGAAAAAAAUGAAAAAAGCGCUCUAUAGCGGUGCCGAGUUGACAACCGACACCCCCGAAAAUAUCCGAUAAACCAUUUUUUCUUUUUUAUAGUAUCGGCCGAAUAGUAAUUUGUCCGCGCGUUUCAUAAUCAAUAAGCGGAACAAAUUGCGGAUUAACUGCAGAUUAUUUACGUGCGGGUUUCGUGCGAAAAACAGCCGGGGUCAGAAAUAUCGCGUUAAUUUUUUUAAAUUCCCCCCCCCCAUCAUUACGUGCAAUAAAAAUUAAAUACCACCGAGAAAAACGUUAACUUUUACUAUCUAUUCAGCGAUAAAAGCACAUCUACGAUCACGUUGGGAAAUUUAAAUUCGUUUUCGCUUUUCGCGGCUAACAAAGUUGACCUCGAAAAUUGUACGUGGUCGGUGGGAGGUAAACGUGGGCGGCGAGUCAAAAAAGCCCAAGACCCCGCCGGUCGAAACCGUUCUCGAUCGGUGACGGAUUUUCUUCGUAUUGUUCGACUCUCUAAACGCAUCAGUCCGGGUGUCGGACCUUUUGUCGAUUGCGUGCCGACUAUAUCGUAGUUGACGGAAAAAUACUUCCGAAAACACAAUCGAACGCGACGUGAAGUUUAUUCGAAAUCGGUUUUCUUCCGUUUUUUUUUUUCCUGUCACAAUGUCACCGCGCAUAACUCCCCCGCCCCCCGAUUUUCGACCAUCUGUUGCGCCUCGAAAAAAAAAAAUCCGUUUUCACUCGCCGCUCGGCUACCGAGAAUACCGGAGUAAAUUGCAGUACGUUUGUCGCCCGACCAGCUCAUUAUUUUUCUCUUCGUCGCCAUUACGGUGUAUAAAAACCGUUUUACCGGAAAAAAAACAAACAAACAAAGUUCCGCGGUCGUUAAACGAUUUCAAUAUUGACGCGUUAAUAUCGUAGGUCUAUUUCGACAGAAAACACAGCCGAGACCGAAUCCCUAUCCCCCCCCCCCCCCCCCCNCCCCCCCCCGAGACGACGAACGACUUUCGUCCCAAGUCCACAAUGUCGUGUACGGCACGACGGACCGAAAGAAGAAUGUUAGCAACGGAACGUUUGGACGGCGACGCGCGGUCUGCCCGAACCGACGAGCAGCGGAUUUUCAACAUUUUUUCCGGAAGGGGUACUGAAAAAUCACGCGUGUUUAAAAGGUAUCUAUGUCGAUAGACGCCUUUUUUUUUUGGACAACGUUUAUUGAAAUUUUAUCAGCGUCCGAGGGCGAGUUCAUAAAAUGCUGUUCUUAAAGAAUCUAAAUCCCGGGGGGGGGGGGUUACAAGUGGUCUAGAACACCUCCGAAAUUUAAGCUUCUCGUCAAUCCACCUCCCCCUGGUACAAAGCUUUUAAAUGCUAUUCAAAGGACGUAGACUCUUACGUAUUUUAUCUUAUUGUAUGUCACGUACUCAUGUACGGUUUUUUCGGUUUACAUUAUUUUUCAUUCAUACAUACGCAUCAAUGUGCCGAUAGCAUUGACGAAUAAAAUGUAUAGUUGAUUUAAUGAACUUUCAAUGUAUUCAUCCUGAAACCAAGCUUUCUUGUAAAUACCGUUAAUAAUAAAAGAAAAUAAUAAUAAUUAUAAUGGUGGUUAAAUUUUUUGCGGAGAUUAAAAAAAUUUUUUUUUUAAAAAAAGACGUCCUAGGAUGAUGGGGACGGGUGCAGCCACUGUAAUUGUUAAUUUAAUGAAUGUAUACCUUGUAAGCAACGAUAUAAACCAUUGUUUAUGAAGAACCGAGUUCAGUUGAUAGUGAUGCUUUGUCAACAAUAUAUAUGCCAUAUUGCGGUAAAAUAAUUAAAUAUGAUCUAUAUUUUUUAAAUGUUGUUCCGAUUUUCCUGGUUUUCCCAGUUUUUCACAUUUGUUGAAAAAACUCCGGAGAAAAUGGAAAAAUGACUUCUCCGUGGUACCUCCCUACACUGAUUUCCUAUACACGUAAAAUCGGAGCAAGUCCUCUGGUUGAAAAAUUGUCCACAGAAAAAAAAAAUAAACAUCUUUGUAAAACCAAUAUUUGCUCCACUCGGAAUAUAAAAAAAAAAAAAACCUUAUCAAUUUUUAAAAUGUCUUUAAGAUUUCAAGGGGAACGAGGAGAAUAAGAACAGAAAAAAAAAAAAUAAAAAUAAAUACAACCGUUUGUCGACGUCUGUAUUUUUCUUGGCCCGGCUCGGCUUGUCUGUCUGACGGCUGCGUGUGCCUUCCGGCGCGGCGGCUGCGGCGUCCGGUCGUUUCGCUCUGUAUUACGUUUUUUUCUUUCUUUUCUUUCCCCUCCGGCGGCCGGCUGUGGCGCCGCCGUUCUUUUAUACGAUAUUGUAAUAUAUUACAAGAUAAAGAAAAAUAAAAAUUCGAUUCUAUUUUAUUAUAAUAUUGUAUGUUAUACGUGUCGGGGGACUAUUAUAAUGGGGGAAAAAAAAAAACAAAAAGUUUAUAUUUAUACGUAAUUUUUCUGUACAGUUUUCGGCUAUACCGUAGCCCCCCCCGUCCCUCGAGUUUAACGACGAAAUCAUCGCGUAUAAUAAUGUCAGAUUUUUUUUUUCUCGCCAAUCCUUAAUGCCCUUAAUUACGAAAUUCGUUUCGGUUUUCGGCCCGUUUCGGGCGCGCGCGACGAAACACCGAUGUUGCGGACAACAACAGUUGAAACAAGAUUUUCGUUCGAGCCGGUCCCGAGCCGCUGUUUUCUCGGCACCCGCGAAACUCACGUGUCCGAUAACGCACCACGACCAAACCGAAUACCACCACCGCGUCCGUCGAAAUGCGCGCGGCGGCAGCCCGGGGUCGUAGUGACGGCAUUCGACCGGCCGGUUUUCGCGAGCGUUCGCCGCGUUUUUUUUUAACGGUUGUGAAAAUACAACGAAAGCGAACCUCCCCGGCCCCCGACUUUUGGACACUGAACCGCGGUCACCCCGCCCUACCGGCCGCGGUGUUUAUACCGAACGCGUUUUCUACGAGGCGUGCCGCGGUGUCUGGGCCCCGCGCAACGUUCACGAGUCCGGGUACGCUUCGGAUGUUACGGCGGAUUCCGCAUGUUUUACCGCGCGCGCUGGAUUUACGGCUGAUCGAGCUACGAAAAUUACUUGUACGCGACGGAGAUUUGACGAGAAAAAAAAAAAAAAAAAUUUGAACAUUUGAAACGCGUAUUUUGCACAUCGCGCGUUAGCGGUUCUUCAUUCUUUCUUGACCGAUGCACUUCGAAUGGAUAUAAAACUCGAUAUUGCUCAACGCAGUCAUUCGGCGUUUUAUUUCUCAUCGUCUCGGUCUACCGUUUAAUUUAACGACAACGGCGCGCGCGAUUCGCGUUUAAUCUUCUUUAUCGUUUCUUGCGCAUGUUAAUAACGACGUGUUUUAUACACGGAUUUUCGAAUAACAAACUCCGAAUCGUUAUUUUUUUAUUUUUUUCGCUUAUUCGACAUUUUUUCGCGCAUAUUUUUCAAUAUUUUCGCGUGUAUUUUGCCGGUUUUUUACCCGCUAUAACAGCCGAGCACUAGUUACGACGUUAUAUACCGGGGGUGCCCGCGACGGACCUUUGCGCGGAGCGAGUUCGUGUCCGGCGACGCGGAAAACCCGCUCGGCAAUCCGCCGCGCUCUAACAACGAUAAUAACACGUUAUAUAAUAACGCUGCGUCGUCGGUAAAAAACCGAAAUCUCCGGUAUAAACGAUAACGCAACAAACGUUGUCGUUAUUAUUAUUUUCAAACGGUUACCCCGCGCGUGUAUCGCAGCGUCGCGGUGUUGUAAGUAAAACGGUCACAAUUUCAUCGUCUUAUCGUGACGACUCGGCGGCCGUCACGUGCACGCGGCACAAUGCGCUCGACUGUGUGUGUAGGUAUUUUCGUUGCGUUGCGUUUCGUUUUUUUUUUCUGUAUUUUUUUUUCCUUUCCCAUUCGGUCGGCUCUCACGUUUUCCCGUUUCUCCCUCUCGCGCGUCUGCGUCCGUGUCCGGUCGUGAUGGCACCGCGCCGCCGCCGGCCCGGCUCCCACGGAGCGCGCGCAUUAUCGUUAUUAAUAUUAUUAUCUCUUUUCGUAUAAACCGCGCCUCCUCCGUAACACAAUCCGGGGAUCUCGGUCCGUUUUGUUUGUUACUAUCAUUUCGAUUUGUUUAUUUUCCGUGUCCCGCGUUCGUUGUCCGCGCGUCGACUAUCGAGUUCUAUCGACCGGGGUCGUUGCGCGUACCGAAAUAAUAACACCGUAACCAGCGAUCGUAUCCAGCGCAGAAGGCGCGUGGCGGAAUGUGCUCUCGCGACGCAAUCUCAACGUCACUCCGGCGUCUCCCCCACGCGCGCGCGUUUUCCCCGCGGUAAAAACCGAAUUCGCGCUCGCAUUGUCGUAUGCCGAUGUGGUGCCUGCUUGGCGAGUACGCGAAAAUUUCACCGUCCGUCCGUCCCUUGCGAUUACCACCGCGCCGCGAGGCCCGCGGAACGGGUUUCGUUUGAAACGCGUGACGCGGAGACGGAUCGCGUCCCGCCGCGCGUUUCGUUUGUUUUCCCCAAACCGUAACAGAUCCGGACACUUUAUGUGGUACGGUUCAAAGGCGCGCACGGUAAAAACGGCGCGCGUUCGACGCUAGUGCCGCGACACUGGCCGACAGCGAUCUAGACGUUGCAGGCGAUUACUAGUCGUCGCUGAUAAUAUCGAACAAACGGACAUCGGAAACAUAACAUCACGCGACCGCCGUAUCCAAGCCGGCCGGGCGCCGCGCCGCUUUCGAAAACGCCGUCAAAUCUCGGCGCGCGUACGAAGAAACCCUUAAUCGCGUAGCACGCGCACAACGCCGGGCAUUUCCAACGGUUUCCACGCGUGAUAAUAGCCGCGAGUCGCCGCAACGUAUUUACGUACAAUUAAUUCGGUUUUAUUUAUUUAUUUUUUUGUUUUUUGUUUUUGUUUUUUUUUUUUAUCGCACGAACCCCUUUCUCGUCGGGUUCCACCGUAGAACAUUACCACGCGGUAUACUGCACCGGUUUGUAACUUGUGCGCGUACACGUAAUAUCGAUGACCAAUACGAUUUACUAAGUUUUUGCCCGUUUUGUUUAUUGUUGAUAUUUUCGUUUCCUCUAUGCUCGGUAAACGCGCGUUUUCGCGUUUAAAAGAAAACGAGACGAACGCUGCAAUGAUUGCGCGCGCUGAAAAAAAAAACGCGUUUUAAGAUUAAAAAAAAAAAAAAAACCCACAAAUAUAUUGCUAGCGAGACGUCGGUUUGACAUCGAUCGUUGUAAACGGAUCGAUAAAUCGUAUUCGAAUUAAAUACAAAACGGUUUUUACACUCUCGUACGUUUUUUGUCGUCAAGCGAAUAUUUCGGUGUUAGAAAAUAUCGUUGUAAACCAAUAUUAUAUAUUCCUGCUCGCUACGAUUAGAAUCCAAAUUAUAUAUAUUUCAAUUAGAUUAUUAUUAUAUUAAUUACAUUCGAGUAUAAUGACGUGUAUGUUCACUCGUUGUAAAAAAAAAAAUUGUCCGAAAAAAAAAAAAAAAAAAAACCGUAUACGAAACGACGCGAGUACCCCCACGCCCACUAGCUCACGUGCGUCGCGUUUACAUUAAUUGUUUGUUCAGUUGGUUUUGCUGUACUCGCGUGGGUUAUCGGUAAUAAUUGAUUCUUGUUCGCGUAAGUAACGUUUUCAAUAACUAAAGGACCUUUAAUGUUUUUUAAGGUUUCGUUUUGUCACGGACGAAUAUCGUCCGGAAUGUUUACGAUACGCGGACGGAGAACAAUUUCGCGUACAGUCGAUAGCUCAACAAAAAAAAAAAACCAUUCGUAUCCCGUGUCUCGUUUUAUCGGGUUUUCCCUGGGAAAACCGAAGAAAUUGCGUUUGCGAAUUCCCGCGUAAUUAAAUCACGAUUAUUUACCUGGGUAUUAAAAAAUAUAUAUAUAUAUAUUUAUAUUUGUUUUUUAACGAGUACACAAUAUGUAGUAUACGUACGCCAAAAUGUAAUACUAUAAUCGUGAUCGCGCCCAUUUGGGGGGGGCAAGAGGGGAACAUGUCUAUUUCCUUGGAACAUAAAUAAGUAAAUGAAUACUAAAAAAUAACGACGUAUAACCCUUUGAGUCCGUCGAAAUAAAUGUUAUUAUAUUCCUUGUGUAUCGAUAAUAAUGACUAUAGAUUUUUGCUUAUCACUAUAAUCUAAUGUUUAUAAACCCUUUCUUCCUUGUUCCUUUUCAAGUAAUACCAUGAUAUAAUAUUUAUAUACGCUAUAAAUAUGUUUUAGAAUCUAUAGUUUCGUUUUGUCUCCCGUCUGAAAAUUACCUUGUGAGUGCCCUUGCUGCUACUGUAUAUGGCGGUCCACGCGAUUGUAGAGCGACGGUUUUUAUACUAACAAAAUAUUAUAAUAAUAUUACCCGCGGAGUUCCUCGGUUUUAUAAUAUUUUUUUUCGAAUUGUACACGAAUAUCGAAAUGUACAAAAAUACGUAGACAAUCGCUAAUGCGAAUUGCUUCUUUUCUUUUUCGAGCGCGGACGGUGUUAUUUUCGGUCGAAACGUAAUUGAAUUUAAAAAUUUAAAAAAAAAAAUUAAAGAAUAUAAUUUCUGAUGGUUUUCAUUUAUAAAGAAAUAAAAUGCAAGAUCCUUCAUAAUGGCGUGUUAUAUUUAUAGAAACUUCGUCUUAUAAGCGCACAAUGAAAAUAAAUAAAUACAGUUUACUCUAUCUGCUGUCUGUCCUUUGCACUGUAUAACAACAUUGUAUGUUUAAAAUGUUGCGUUUAAAUUUUCGAGAGUGUUUUGUUUCGAAAAUCUAGAGCGCCGGAAAAGUAAACGUUAACAUUAUUACAAAAUCGAAAAUUCUUAAUUAUAUUUCCGCGGAAAUUCAUAUUUCCAAAACAAAUAACUAUCGGAAAGACGUCGUGUUAUUUUAGAGGCGGGACUUUUUUAAGGGAAAAAAACGAUUUCUACGAUUGUUUUGUUAAGUAAAUUGAUAUGUCGAAAAAUAAUGGAAACGUUUCUAUGAAUGGGUUUUCGUUUUGUGUAAACUGUUGAGGCGGGUUUAACCUAAUUUCCAUUGUUAUUGUUAUUGUUUCACUAAUUCGGUGUAUACGGAACGUUUAGAACGUCGGGUUUUUGUGUGUGAGGUAGUGCGGUGAGCCGGACUAGACGGUACGACUGGAAACCAUUAUAACGACGAUGUUACCUGUGACCACACUGCUCUUCAGCUGGACGCGGAAAAGGUUUUAAGUCAAUAAACCGACAAGAAAUUCAAGAGCAAUAUUUAUUGGCUCGGUAGCAUAAGCAAAACUAGACAAUUUAUUUAUACAGGCCGAAUGAUAAAUAUGAAAAAAAAAAAAAAAAUGGACGGACAUACUUCGCACGUGGACGCAGCCACACUUUAGUAGGCAGGAAGUUGGGAAGGAAGUAUACAGACGGGAAUUUAACGUACGUCUGUAAGCUACGAUAAAACGUACAUGAGAAUUUCAAAAAAUGACCAAUCUAAAUUAGAUUAUUUCCGUUCAGAAAAGGUGCUAUACUUGAUAACCGGAGUAAGCUUUCUGGUAGGAAAAGCGUUCGCAUAAAGUAAACGAAUAGACAUCUAUGUAAAACCAAUUCAUUCUUCGCUAUAUUCAGAAUCUAAAAACCGUAAACAUUUUAGAUGCGCAAUUCGAGUUUAUAAUUUUUUUAAUUUUAAAUUCUCCCGAGUCGGUACACGGUCCAAACAGCAUUAGGUCGGGCCACGGCCAGACAGGCCUGACCCGCAGUGUUUCGCCCGUGCUCGGCAGUCGUGUAUUUGCCCGGCGGUUGUGUGGAGUGAUACCGAAUGUCUGUCCUCCGCGAGUCCGGCCGGUCUAUUUUUGAAGUCUAAAAAAAUACGAAUCCACCCCCCCCCCCUCCAAUUGACUCGCGAAAGUAAAGAGAAAUUAUUAAUAUGGUUGAUUACCGGGUUAAAAUCAACACAAAUAAAACAUCCGGAUGGGUACGGACUUUGACAUCGCCGCGUAGUCUUUAAUACUAUAAUUAACAUAAUGUGAUUGAACGGCGCAGCGCGUCUAAACGGACGACGCGACCAGUCUGUGAUUACGAUUCAUAAUAAUAAUAAUAAUCUCGCAUAAUUUAUGAGUGAUGUUUCAGGACUCGACGUGAUUGCUGUACGGUAUAGCUAGGUAUUAACCACAACCCCCCUCCCCCUCACACCCAACUUGUUUCUAUUAUUAACUAUUUCAGAAUGUAUUUACAUUUAUUUUUUUUUUUUCUAUAAGUCGCUUAAAUAAUUUUCGUCGGAUAUUUUUUUAAAUUUUGUUUUUGUUCGUAUGUAUAAUAACAUAAUCGGUGGUUUAAAAAUGUAAUGUAUUGUUAGGAACAAAAAAAAACAGAUUAUUUUUUUCUUUUCGUGUAAAUCGUCGAGUAAUUCGACCGUUCAAUAACCAAUAAGUUAUUUAGUAAUGAAAUUGCGUUUAUCUCGAUGUUCAAAAUUAUUAUGAUGGUUAAAAAAAAUUAUACAUAAUUGAUUAUAAUAGUGUGCGUUCAAUUCGUAGAUAUGAUUUUAAUAAUAGCCCGCGAUCAGUACAUUAUACAUUGACCGAUAAGCGCGGGGCAGCCACCCACCCUGCCUCGCACAAAUUCCCCUGAACUUAAAAGAAAACGAAUUACACUUGCGUAAAUUAACCAUCAGGCGAUUUAAGUUGUUUUUUCGGUUCUGGUUAAGGCCGAUCACUUUACCGUUGACGCAGUGGCGUACAGCAACGUGCCCUUUUCGCCGACGGGAGGUAAUAAAUAAUAAACCCGAUCCAAUCGAUUUAUUAAUCGCGGGAUUUUCUUCUAUUAUAAUUAUAUUAAUAUACGUAAUAUAAUAUGUUAUGAAAAUAUUAUAAUUCCUAGCCCAGCCGGAUCCUGAAAAGCGAACUCCUGUUCAGUAAAGCUUCGAGCUUUUUCUCCUUGUAACUUGACCGAAACAUAUAUUUUUAAGAUAAACGGUUUAAAGGAGAGAGGACGAAUCCCUCCCUCUUGCGCUGGCCACUGACGCAUUGGCGCGAGUCGUAAAAAUAUCUGUACAAUACUAUUGUAUAAACCAUCUGCAAUCGAUAGUCAUAUAUUAUACAAUGCAUUUUUAAUAUUCGACAUUUUUUUUUUUUCACGGAAAAAUACAAUAGAUCCGCGCUUCCCGGUCCUCUCCCGCGGCUUUCCUGCCCCGGCCAAUGAGGUCUGUGCAGUGUGUACGUCUAUGUGUUAUGACGUUUUAUACGACCUAUUGAAUUUUAAAUACGAUUAUCUCUCGUCGUAAAUUCGUUCAGAACGUGCAGUGUGUGCGGCUUAGAAUCGGCGUACAAAAAUAUUAUUGUCGGCGUGUCGUGUUUAAAAAUCGAUGAACAAGAACGAUACGGUUUUCUAUAGGAUGUAGUCAAAUAUUCCAUUUUUUUGUUAUGAAAAUAUUCUCCGUAUACACAGUUCGUGUAACUCGAUAAACUGCAGUAAGAAAAUAACGAUACAAAAUAUUGUUAUUACGUUCAGGCCUAUUAUUAUUAUGGUUCUAUACGCAGUUGAAACUAAUUCGAAUAUUAUUAUGAUAAUACGGUCUUUUUUUUUACUUUUUUAUUCUUAUCCGCCGCGACUAUAAUAUUGUGUGUAACAAAACUAAUUUUUAAUAACACGACCCGCACGUUACUCAUACCUAUAUUAUUAGGGGAAAACGAAUGGAACUCUCGAUAAUAGAAUAUCGAGAAAACCAACGUGCCUCGGUUUUCUUCUUUUUUUUUUUUUUUUUUUCAUUCCCGCUCCCUUCGUGUCUUAUCGUUGACAUUUUUCGAUAAUAUCGCAUUUAUUUCCCUCCCUCCCCUCGUAUAAAAUUAUUGCACAGUGCGCUUACAGCGCGCGAGGGGGUUCCGGUCAACUAACACGACGAGGAUAUCCGGAAUCUCGAAGCGUAUAGCGUGGAAAAAAAUAAAUAAAAAUAACCCGUAGACAUUUUACGAUACACUUAUAGCGUUGUUGUUGUUGUUGUUGGUUUAUUAUUAUUUUUUGUACGCAGUUCGCCGGUAUUAUAAUAUUAUAGCAAUAGGUGUAUAUACGGUCAUUUAAUAAUAGAACGGGCGUAAUGCGCGCGCGCUCGCGCUUUUCCGCGGCGGAGUGAAAAAAAAAACAAUCGUUCCUUUCUUUUGUCGACGGUUUUUUUUCUUUCUUCCACCGGUUUUCGGAUGUCCGACACACCGACGCCGCGCAAUCGAACAUUAUUGUACACGGCCACGCGUAUUAUUAAUCUUACCUGUGUACGGGCGCCCAUAAUAUUAUACAUCCGUGUACAUUACCGCCGGCCGAAUGUGUGUGUGUGUGUGUGGGUUAUUAUAACACAAUAUUAUUACGACGACGCGCGACGAGGACGGCGAGGAGUUUACUCGGUUUCCGUAGCUCCGACCCAUCUGGGUCACCGUCGGGUCAUUUGCCCGAGGUUUCCGGACUUUUGUCGCACGCUGUACAAAUAUAAUAAUACGUAUAAUAAUGACGGGUGUAACGCACGGGCGCAUUAUUAUUAUUAUUAUUAUUACCGACGAUACGGUUUCAAAACUGGUUUGUUUUUUUUUUUAUUAUCUAUCUUGUCUAUAAUCGUCUUCUCCCCGUAGCACAGUACGACCGCCGCGGCGCCGUUCGAGUGCCGCGCGCGCAGAAUCUCUCCGUUUUGUUUUACGCGACAUCAUCGCCGCGGCGGCGUACCUACGAUUCUUCGACGGACGGACGAGCAGAGACGCGAGAUAGACGGCCCGUCCCCGCGUCCCCCCGAUACGACACGGACCCGUUCAGUCCCGUAUCGCGCGUAACGUGCCUUUGUGUUUGUUGUGUUCGUUUUCGCGCGCUGCGACACGCAGCCGGGAAUCCGAAUCGGUGGGGUAAAGGAGGAGAAGGGGCGGGCGGGCGGGGGGGGGGGGGGGGGGUGAAGGACUAAAUAGUACGCGUUUACGCCCGAGACGCGGGCGCGAACAUGACGGGCGGAGCGGAGUUUCGAUCGGAUUAGUCAAUACAAUACUAAUAACAAUAAUACUAAUUAUCGUUUUUACUCGUCAUUCGCACCGACGCGCUACGGAACCGUUUUCCGUUACCGGAAUUCGCGGUUUUUUAAGUCGGUUCCCCUCCCCCGAUUUUUCGCGGCGCAGGUAUUGUUAUACGAGUUAUGCGAGUUCGAAAAACUCCGAACUCUCGGCCAAGAACAGGUGUACUUUUAUCGUAUAAUUUCGUACCGAAUCGUUUUUUCGAAUAUUAACCGCCGUCGUACACUAUAAUUUUCGCGUAUUUAACGCCCAACGUUGGAAAACAUGAAGUUUCAAAAUCGUCGCGUUUCACUUUUAUUUUCCAUUUUUUAUUUCCCCCCCCCCUCUCCCCCACGUCCGUUAUACCCGCGCGUAUCGAUUUUUGUUUAUCGGGGUUUUCGAACAAUGUCUAUUGUCGUUUAGGUAUAUACGAUUCCGAUUUGUUCUUAUUAUAUUAUUUUUAUUUUUAUCGGUUAAACGUGUUGUUUUUUUUUUUUUUUUUUUUUUUUAUCUCUCGUACAUUUAUAGUUAUAAUUCGUAUUGUAUAUUAUUAAAUCGUGUAGCGCGUUCUUGUUAUUUCGAUCCGGAAAAAAAAAAAUCCAACGAAUCUCGGCAUUCGAAAACCCGAUGAUUUACCACCGCGGUAUUUAACAGAGUCGUCGUCGUACGUAAUGUAGCAGAGCCGCGCAUAGGUUAUUGGGUUCGGUUUUAUGGCCGUUCAUUGUUGUAGUUCGUGAUCGUUAUUUUCGGAGUUUUCUCCGUGUCCUUGGCCCGUUAAAUAAUAGUCGUAUUAUAUUAUUACAUAUAUGUAUAACAGCGCUCUCGUAUACUAAUAUGAUUUUCACGAAACGUGUCUCUCUCAGGAUUCGUACAACACGUGUUCUAUUCAAAAACGAAACGCGCGCGUGUGGGAAAGAACGACUACGACUACGGCGUGUUUCGACCCGGCUCUAUUAUUCAUCCCGAGAGAUAAAAUAUAAUAAUAAUAAUAAUGCGCGCGCGUGUGUGUUUGCUCCUCUCCGUGUAAAAUCAUAUCGGUUCGUGUCCUUCGAAACGGAAUUAUUGUCUGUAUCCUUUAUAAUAUAAAGCGUCGCCGUCGUCGUGGUCUUAUAAUACGAGCAUAGUCUCUUGUGUGAUUUUAUCGGGAAGAAUUCCCUCGCCGGCGCGGCGUCUGUCGGACGACCGAAUACGUAAAAUACAAUAAAUAAUGUUUCGAAUUUAAACAAUAAUUAUUAUUAUUAUUAUUAUUGUUGUUGUUGUUGUUGUUGUUGUAUAUAUCUCGUUAUCGACGACCGCCUUCUCUUGUCCGAAAAAAUUGUACGUGUUUAAUACGCGAGACCGUGUGGCGCGCUCAGCCUUUUCGUAUUGGGAGGGGGGGCGGGGGUAGAGGGAGGGUUGAUGUGAAUAAUUAUUAUGUCCAAUUAUUCCGGACGUAAAAUCAUCGUUGAACGUAUAAUUUCACGUAUAAAUCGUUACAAUACCCGGCCACUAUACAUUUUGUCUAGCCGUACUCAGCGGGGGCGGCUAGCCGAUCGUUUUCUUUUUUUUUAUCUUAACAGAUCGUUUGCGGUCAGUUUUUACCGAUACAUUUCAACAGUGUAUAUGCUGGCAAUUUUAUUAUUUCCGGUGUGUAUUAUAAAAGCGCGACGAAGAACAUUAUUUUUAAUUAUACAUUUUAGUUUUACAAGUCGUACGUCCAUUACGUUUAUUAAAUUAAUAUUAGACAAUUAAUAAUAUUACACGUAUUUUUAUGGGAGUCGAUCCUCACGAGGAAAAAUAAACACUUAGUAGACCGAUAACCAGAAAAAGUUUCGCCGUCGCUGUUAUAAUAUAACAUGGGCGGGCAGGCAGACUUUUUUCGGGCGCCAGGUAUACAGGGUCGGACGUCGGCGGCGCGAAAUCCUAAUAAAAAAAAAAAAAAAAUGAGACGAUAAUUACACGACAGGAAAUGCAUAAAGCGUAAACGAGUUAUAUAUUUAAAAAAAUAACACGUUCAUAGGCUAAGGGAGGGGGGCUAUUUAUCUCCCCGUGAGCGCGCUCCUGUGUACGAGCGACGUUCUCGUCAAUUUAUAUUUUCUAUAUUUCCUUUAUUAGAGACAGAAUACGUACACAGUGCAGCUGACGAUAUAUCCGUCGACGAUGUCGUCGUAGUUUUGACAUUUUGUUUGCCAAUUAAACUUCUGGAUAAGCCAAAAUAUUUAUGUUACGCGUGUAUACGGACCGACGUAUACUAUUUCCGUGCCCGACGGUCUGCGGAAUGCCCGCAGGCAUUGCCAAGUCCGUUUCGAAUAUUCUCGUAAAUAAUCCUACACUAUAUUCUGUUUGUUUCUGGCGGUUUUAUUUGCUCGCGCGUUCGGCUUUAUCACCCUCCCCCAUCCCCCCUCUGCCCCCAAUAAUAUAAUAUUAUUACGGUGUUUUUUGUUUUUUGUUUUUUCUGUUCCCCAACGAUAAAUAAAUAUGUACAUAUUAUUAUAAUAUUGUAUUUUUUCUCUCGAUGACAAAGGAUAAAUAUAUCCGUCGAACGAGACGCGGCAAUCCCGUUUUUAGUAUCCGAAUUUAAGACGGUACACUCUGCUGUUAUUAUUGUAUAAUAUAAUUUUAUUACAGUCAACGCGAAUAAUACAUAGGUUAUUCGCAGAGUUUUUUAAUAUUCGUUCGAGAAAAAAAAUCGUCUAGCAGGUUUUUCUUUCCCGCGAUAAACACUACUCGAAUCGGAAUUUAAAUAAUUUCUGCCUCGACAAUAGGGGGGUGGGAGGAUUGAAAAAAAAAAAACCAGAUAAGAUGGUGCCCGAUGUUUACUGUAUGUAUAUGUGUAUAUAAAAAAAACUUUAAUGUAAACAUUACUGAUCGAAUAUCACAAGAACACUGCAACUAUACAGUAGGUACGUGACAAACGACUGUAUUAUUCUCCGGCAAUAUAUACAUGACGUAAACACGAACGUCUGACAUCCGAAAUGACUUUUGUUCGAUAUUUGUAUUACCAGAGCCUCGCGUUAUAAUAUACUUCUAUUAUAUACAUUUUUUCGAAUUUUGAAUUUAUAAAUAUAUUUUGAACAAAAAAUUCCUGUGUAUUAUUUACUAUUAUAAUGAUGAAUCGUUAAUUUUCUACGAUUUUUUUUUUCCGAAGUUUACGAUAGUAGUUUACAUUGUUUUCAUCGCGCCGCCACUGAAUAAUACAAUCAACCGAUUCACCAAAUGACCGGCGAAAUGUAAUUUCGUUAAUGAUGUUUGCAACGUUAUUUUUUUUAGAACGGGCCGGUUUGGAUUUUAUAAAAGUAAUUUUUUCCACUGUUAGUUUUUCGUUAGAAAACGGAGAAAUCGUAGCGCAAGGCUCUGUUAUAGUAUAGCGAUAAAAAAAAAAAAUUGUUCCAUUUAACCGCGUACAUUCAUUAUCUCGGAAACUAUCAUUUUUUUUUUUUUUCGGAAUUGGUUUUAUUGAACAUUUAAGAAACAAGCAGCUUCGCCGUUUCACGUUGAAAUUUUCGAUUUCUAUCAAUCCGUUAACGAGAUAUUCCAAUUUUAAGCUUGAAUCGAAAUCAAAACUUUAAUUGAAGUGGGUGUCUCGUCGACGAAAUCGAACAUUUCAACGCGAAAAUCGAAUUCAACUAAUAUUCCGCCUGUUUUUCAAACAUAGGUUUUACCCCCCCUCCCCGCCGAAAAAUAACAUGACGCAGGCAAAGCCGUUUGGUUCUUAAACGUUCUACGGGACGAGUUAAAGUCUGCUGAACGGUUUCCGAGAUAAUGAGUGGUGCGCCCGUUCAAACGGAACACCCUGUCCGUGCACGGGGGGGGGGAUUUGUUCAUUACCGGGGAGUCACCUCGCGUUGUUAUUAUAACAUUCAUUCGGGUAUGACGCCGUAACUUUUGCCGGUUCGUUCGUUUAUUAUCGCGUAUCGUUACGCCGUAAAACUGCCGACAAACACGCCGUGCAGGCCCCCAGCCAGCGUUAUCGUUUUGUUACGCCGCCCGUCGAUUUCUCCGAUAUUCCUGUCCCGCUCGAGAAAUAUUAUUCGCGCCCUCUUCUCGCGUACGAUAACACAACACUGCAGUACGGCGGCGUGGGCUCACUACGCCCGUGUACGUGUGUAUAUAGGCGCUCCCGGUGAAUCCUAUACGCCUCCCCUAUACCCCUAUACGCCUAUACGGUUUUCCCCCUCCGGAGGUUUCCGCCGCGACCUUUACCGGCGAUGCGUGAACUUCCUGGCGAAAUAAAAAAAAGUCGUCUCGAAUUCACACAUUAUAUCGUAUUGUAACGUACACGGAAAGACCCGAAUUUCGCGACGCGUAUUUGCGAACCGCAUUCUGCGCGUCCGGGGCCCGACGGUCGAAAACCAGAAGGGAAAUCAUUCGGGGGUUUUUUUUUUCCGCCCCGAGAAGGGAGUGACGGUACGCUAGACACACGAGGUAUUUCCCCCGAGACCGACUUGCCGUGUAGUUAUAGGUCCUUGAUACGAAAUUAAAACCAUUUACGUGUGCGGUCGGGAGAAAUGUCGAAAAGGACAUAGACGGCUGAGGGGGGAGGGUUUGUAUCGGACGGUGUCGGGGGGGGGCGGAGGUGGGGGGUGGCGGUCAUCUCCGAGAGUCAUUUUUCAUCGUCACUCGUCUUCGUUCCCCGGUUAGUCUUUUGACCCUCUCAAGGAUUGUUGGUCACCCGCGACGCUAAUCGCACACAUAGAGUUGGCGGAAUAUAAAUAAACGCGCGGGUUCUUCGGGUUUUAACAAAAUAUCCCCGGCAAUGCGUAAAAUCUCGCCUAUCGAAAGCCUACGUUAUUACUGUGAAAUAUUAUGUAAUUGUAUAGUUUGUUUUAUGAAACGUAUUCGUUCAGUUCGAUAAACAUAGAAUAAUAAAUCAGCCUUAUUUUUAAAAUUAUUUUCGUUUAGUAAAAAUAUCCAUGUUUAUACCCGGCCAAUGUUUUUGUCACGGAUGUUGAUAUACGUGUAUGUUACGUAAACAAUUUGUUUGUAUUCGAUAUUUGAUUUAAAUUUAAAGAUCAAUAUAUUAGUGUCAAAUUCUCGAGCUAUUUUUUCGUUUUUAAUGAAAACAAACAAUUGUAUUGUGCAUAAUAAAAUGUUGUAAUCCGUCUUUGUAAUUGAAAUUUAAAAUUGUAGUUUUCUUGCAGCGACAAGGCGCAGCCUUUAGAUAUAAAUAAAAAAAAAAAAAAAAAAAUAAUUUAGUUGAUAUUGAAUUAAUGUAUAGACAUGUUUUAUGUGAAUAUUCUAUGGUUAAACUGGGUAAGGCAGAAAGAAGUGUGAUAAAAAAUGAAAAUGUAAAACAUUAAUAUUGUAUUUUUUUAAAUUUCUUUCGCCAUCGCCCCAACUGUUUGGGGUAGGUCACCCUCGUCCUAAACUUUUACUUGACCCGAUAUCCCAUUUCGCAUACACCGGCCAUCCUCGUACAAUAAUUUUCAAUCGCAACCACGGUCUUCAUCUCCGCCUCUUUUAUCCUACGUUUACUUCCAUUAAAAUUCUUACUGUUUCAGAUGCCUCUCUCCUUAAACAUCCCUAAACCAUCUAAAUUUAUUUUCUCCCAUUUUGUCGUCUACUAUCGAACUACUUGUACUACCACGCCCAAACUAUCUCUUAUAACUAAAUUAGUACUAAAUUAUACUAAAUUAGUGCAAUUUCUUAUUAUUCCAUAUUUUUUCGUCUACUACCCGACACUCCGUACUAUACAGCACAGUCGGUCUCACCGUACUUUUGUAGAACUUAAAUUUAAAUCUUAUCGACAUUCUCUUGUCACACGAAACACGUGAUAAGUACAUAUCAGUAUAAUAUACUAUAUAAUUACAUUAAACAGAAAAUAUUACACUAAACAUUUGGCAGAGUCGAGAUAGUUUUUACAAUAAUUUAUAUGCUAUAGUAAUAUAUUAUAUUAAUAUACACAUUAUUAUGAUGUACUUAUUCGAAAUGCAAUAACGUGAUAAAGUACGGAGUUCCGCCGAACGUUCAGCCGUUUCUGAAUACAUACAUGUAUAGUUUGCGAACAAUUUUAGAUUUAUAAAACAUUAUUAUAUAAACGAUCGUUGUAUAUAUAUAUACACUUUGAAAAGGGUUCGAGAAAUUAUUAUGCGAUAAGGAUAGGUCAUAAUGUACUCUUUAUAGGCCAUUUAUCCGUCUAAAACUCAACGCGGCGGUGUACUGUGUAGUCGAAAAACCGUAUUACUUUUAUUUAUUGUUUCAGCGGUUCUUUCUGGGUCACGUGGGACAAAUUCAGUUCGUAUAUACUGUAUAUACUAUAAAACUCCGGGGUGGUUUAUCAUUAAAGAAAAUCUGAAACGUGUUUGAUUUAUAGCGUUUUUCUCCAUCUAUUUUACACGCUCUAAAGCAUAUAAAUACGAUGGCGAAAGUUAUCUGUGACGAGAUUAAUAAUAUUUUAUAAUAUAGUUUUAUAAUACCGCGGGUAUACAUAAGCUUUUAUACCUUUAUGUUACAAUCUUAACAUUAAACAUUUACUUUCCAAAUAUGUUUAACUCGCAUUUAAUUUUUUUUUUUUUAAAUAUAUAGGGACAGGCCUACUGCAGUAUAAUAUUAUAUUUCUACUCUGAGAUUUAAAAAUAAACUACAUAAGGACGUGCACUCUUCUCAUUAGGACGGACGAUAUGUAGCUCUAAAAAUGCACUAAACAUGCAAGUACUUUUGUGUUUAAAAGUCUUAAAACACGCUUUACAUUUUUUUUAAUUUAAAAACAUCUAAAACAAGAAAAACAAUCUCUUAGGCUGUAAGCACCUAAUUUAAUUCUAUGACGUUUUAUAACCAAACGAAUAUAGAACGCUUUUUAUUACUUGAUGAAUUUAUCACUUUUACUUUUUAUCGAUUUAAUUAAUAAGAUUGGUGUCAAAUGAUUGACGGGUUUGAUUUAUUUAAUUUAAUGUUUCUUCUUCUAAAAAAUAUAAUUUUCAAUAUUUGACGAUUGUCCUUUUGGUAAAUGUUAUUUAUGAGUAAUUAUGCAAAAAAGCAAAAAGCAAAAAAAAAAAAAAAAAUACUUAAAAUAUAUAUAAUAUUACGGUGUAUACAAUUAAAAAUUAAAAAUCUGGUUUGUCACUAACUCGAAGCAAAUUUCUUUCUAGCCUUUUUUUUUUCUGGCGCAAAACAAAUACGCAAACUCGAAGAAGUCGUACUUAUCAUAAUUAGAGGGAUGAAUAAAGUAAAUGUAAUCAAGUUCAUUGAUUAUUUAGUUGUGUUUGGAUCGACUUUGAUUAACUGCAUUUUACGAAUUAUUUUUGUUUAGAGAAUUUAAUCAUUGUGUAAAGGAUAGAAAAAAAAUAAAUAAAAACCCAACAAGUGUCAAUAGUAUUUAAUUACAGUGAUUCAUAUUGUCUAUUACGACAAUAUAAUUAGGAGGCGCCUAUUAAUGUGCGGUCACCGAUAUAGUUAAUGGUUUUUAUGUACGGUUUUUAAUUAAGUCGUACCGCCUACAAUCGUACAAAAUAAAGUCAAUAAAAGGCGAUUCAAUGUGCGUAUCGGAGUUUUUGGUCGUAGUAAACUACGUUUUCUACUAUUUUCUACACGUUAAAGGGAUUUUUUUUCGGCUGUUAUCGUUUCCACGUCGUCUGUGUUCUAUGACCAAUGUGCCAAUGAUUUGUUGUUCAUAAUUCGCGUGUAGAUAUUGUCUACAGGUAUAUAUACGUUUAUUAUAAUAAAAUGAAUUCGAUAUUACUUUCGUGAUAAAAAUCUAUGAGGGGAGGGUAUACGAUUCUAUAGCCGAUUUAUAGCCAAACCUCUUAGCCGUUUCGUGGGCCCGUGGCAUUUGCCCAUCUCGCCCACCCGUGGUAUUUAUGCCACCUAUCUCAAUAAUAAUGGAAAAUGUCGCGAACCAGAUGUGGUGAAGUGCGUCGGCCUAUUCACACUGUAAAUACACUUUCAGGUAUGGAAACCUAUGGAUUACGGCGAUACGAUGCCUACGGUACGACGAUAAUCAUAUGCGACUUAACCGUAUCACCGUAUUUUUUUAAAAACAGUUCAGCGUUCUCACUAUAUAUUCUAUUAAUUAAUAUUUAUCAUUACGAAACUAAAAAUCGGAGAAAACAAGAUAAUACUGUUGUAAAUAACUAAUAAUCACGGACUUAAAUUUAAUGGACAAGAAACUACAGCGGGUUGUCGGGUAACGACGAGAAGGAUAGGGGAGGUGGUGGUAAUGGGCCCAUUAAUGUUUCUGACUACUGCGAUAAUGCGAUAUUUUAAAAAAAAACAUCAAACUACCUUGUUCAGUAUUAUAAUUAAUAUUGUAUUAUACGAUAAAACUACUGCGAAACUUCGUUAAAUAAAAAAAAAAAAAUACCUACGGAUCUAUCGAUAAAAAUAAGCCUAGGUACAUUCCAGAAAAAUCAUACCGAGUUAAUUCAAAAUAUAUCAUUGUUUUCAAUUAUUAUCGUUGAAUGCUUGCAGGGGAAGAAAAACCUCGGUUUUUCUGAACUGAUAAUCGGUUUUUUCAUUCAAAUUUACCUCCUAUGCGAUUAAUGUAUUUCGGGAUAAUAAUAUAGUGACGUAACAUUUUUCAGUGGGGAAAUUUCGUUUAAUUAUUUCGGUUAAUCGAUUGCCGCUUUCGAAUUUUCAAAAACAAAAACGGCUAUCGCGUCAUAGUUCUUAAAUUAUAGUUUUUUUUUCUUUAUUACGAGAACCGGUAACCGGUUUUUAGCUCCGAAUUAUGAAUAUUGUAAACAAGUCGAAAUUAAUUUUGUAAACGUUUUUAUUUGUUUGUACAGACGAAUUCAUAAAAAAAAAAAAAAUAUAUAUAUGUUUUUCGAGACACAGUAUCAAUCACAGAACACUAUAUAAAUGUAUACACUGACACAUCACAAUAAUGUUUAUAUCACUCAAAAUGUUUAAAAAUAUCAUCAUUAACUGUUCAUUGUGUUACUAUAAUUAAUGCACAAGAUUAGUUUACUUUCUGUGUUUUUUUUUUUUAAUUUUAAAUUUGAAAUGUUAAUUGAACUAAUUAUACAAUUUAGCGUAUACCAAAAAAACUCGAUUGAACAGUCCGACGAGAAUUAUUUUCUUGAUAAAUCAUUUCGUCGUUUCUAUUAUUUGUCUUAUCGAUAAUUGUACAAAUUUUUUUUUUUUUUACAUUUCGCGUAAUUUUCAUUAUACUAAUGCAUAUAUUAUGACGGGUAUCGUUUUUGUGUAAUCUACUGACGAGUUUUUUUUUUUCUUUUUAAGUUUCUCAAUCAAAUGUAUUGUCGUCUGUAUAAUAAUAAAUACUCGAAUCGAGCGGUGAAUUGUGGUUUAAACGAUUAUUGUGUUAUUUUCGAUGACGACGACGUUGUAGAAAGAAAGAGACACAAAAUUCCUCUUACGCGAUUAUAAUUAUUGUUAUUUUUUUCGAAUUAAUGUCGGACAACGACGCGCGCUAAAAAAAAAAAAAUAAAAAAAAGCACCUUCGUAUAAUACAAUGUUUUCACAAUUUCUACGUGUGCUUUUCCUCUUUAAAAAAGAAAAUACACGUAAUUACUAAUAUUAUAAUAUGUUUCAAACGGGUACGAUCGUCUCGCGUGUCCGUAAUAUUAUCGUUAUUACUCCGGGUGUACGUAUAUAAUAGGAAGAUCGAGUGUUACAACGCGCGAGUUAUUAGAGCGUUUCUAUUGUAGACUGUUCGGUUUUAUUUCGUUUUUUCGUUUUUUUUUUUUUUUCCGUCUCUUUUCCACUACCGUUCCAAGGUCGUCGUCACAUUAUGCUCAGUACGUACGUAAUAUUAUCGUACGCAUACGCGCUACGAGACAAUCACACUGCACAGCAUAUUAUACGAUACGCGGUUUUAUUAUCGCGUAGGAAACGUAAUUUUCUCGGGUCUUGUAUUCACUCGCACGGCGGCGGCGGCGGCGUUAUAACCGCACAGAAACGGACGACGGACCACGACGAUAAAACCGGUCGGUCGUCCCGCAAAGUCAACACCACCGUCCGAAAACGACGACGACGACGACGACGACGACGACCACUGCGCUGUUAUUAUCGCUGUACCGCGUCUCCCGAAAUCUCGUAGUUCCUACGUACGUACUAUACACACGACUGUAUAGCGCUGCGAGUAUAACGUUCUAUUAUUAUUGUUAUUAUUAUUAUUAUUAUUAGUAGUAGUAGUAGUAGUAGUAACAGCGGCAGUGGUAGUAUACAGUCAUCACGGACACAACGACCCGGCGUGUCCGUAACGAAUGUUUUCUAUUCGACGAUAAUAAUUUCCUACGAGUUCCUUUUGUUUUGUUUCGCGAUACGAAACGUCGUCGUCGCGUCGGCCACAGUUGCGGAUUACGAUUCCGAAACCCAUAUCGUACAACCGUGCGUGUAACAAUGUUAUGGUACUCCGUUCGCAGCUGAUAUUACGCGUCCGAGAGGUUUCGCCCGUACAACAGACCGCCGGUCCGUUAACGGGUGGCGCGGUGGGAAGCGAGGAGGGACCGAGUCGAAAAACAUUGCGAACGUAUCCACGCCGUGUCGUCGGUAGGCUAAAAAUAAAUAAUAAGUGAACAGAUAUUCGAUAAAAGCGAAUUGCAUCGAUGACGUCAACACACGAUUAGCGUGUGUACAAUAAUAAUACGGUCUACACUAAUAUAUGCGUAUACAUUAUAGGUAUUUAUUUAUUUUAAAUAUAUAUAUAUAUAUAUAUGUAUACAAAAAAAAAAACGAGUUUAGAAAGGCGCGCGCGUGCUAAGUUCCCGGUUUCCGAGCGCGCCUAUUCUAAACAAUAAACUGUAAUUCCGUAUACAAUUUUGAAAGAAUUCGGCGACCUAGUAUAAAAAGUAUGCUCUUAUGUGUAAGAAACCAGAGGCGUAUUUACGUUUUAUAGCACUCUGGGGCGCUGUUCUUUUAGCGCCCUUUCAGAAGAAACACAUUUUGUCCGCGGCACAUUUCUAAAACACAUUAUUUUUAGGCCCUGCUGAGCGAGAAUAAACCGCGGGAUGGAUUGAUAUUAAAAAUAAUAAUAAUAAUAAAAAAACAACGAAUGGAAAUACAUGUACGUCGAUAUAGUAAUCGUGCUGUAGAACCGGCUGGCGGUGACUAAUUUGUGCACGCAUUGUUUCCUUGUACUUAAUGUACAGAGUAUACGAUCAAUAACAUCCGAAAAUAAAAACACGGUUUAGUCAGAGUGUUAAAACGGGGUAACGAAUUCCGAUGUUCGAGUAAAUAAUUGCAAACUAACUCGUGACGUGAUUUUCGAGUCGGGAUUUUAAAUUCGGGUUCUAGGGUAAGGGAGUAUUGUCAUGCAGUACUGCGCUAUUUUUUAUUAUAGUGAAACUAUAUUAUAGUUUGGACGCACACGAUAAAAAGAGCUGAUACUGCUGUCGGGUGUGCCACUAUUGUACGUGAAACGUUUGAAAGGUACCUCGAGUUUCUAAAUUUGCAUGCCGCCCGGAUUUCCGUCUCUACACACGGCUGCGGCAACAACUUAACCGCGCUGAUUUACGCGGAAUGCCCCGCGAUCCAAAAAUUUAAAAUGCUUAUACAUUUUUCGAAAACGGCCGGAAUACGUAUUUCGAACAUUUUAUCGCGUCAAUAGAACUUCAGAUCUCUACGGUUAUUUUUGACCGAAAAUUGUUAUGAAAACUACUCGGAAAAUAAAAACAUAUUAUGCAUAAUCUCAUCGAUGCGCCGACUAGAUCCAAAUGAUUUACACCGGAAAUCGUUUUUGUCAUUUUUUGAUUGGAGCGAGAUUUCUGAUAGAAAAGUGGUUUACAAGCGGAAGUAAUAAUGAUAAAAAGCGCACAUUAUCAUAGUAAAUAAACCAAUACAUUUCUCGUUACGCUCAGAAUCUAAAACGGGGGGAAAAAAGUUUGAAACUUAACGAUCGUAUCGUCGUAUAUUAUGCCGUUAUAAUAUACUUUUUGGGCUUUAAAUAUAGACGGUCGUAUCGCUUGAAUAUAUAUUAUUUUUACGGUUAAAAAAUACAUAUUUUUUAUUCGUUAUACCGCGCAGUGUGUACGGGACGGAAUGGGGGGGGGGUUGAUUUGUGGCUCUCGAAAAUUCGCCCUAUUGUUGUCAUUUCGUAUACGUUUCGCGCGUUCGACGGUCGUCGGCUAUUAUUAUUGAGCGAAAUCUCGCAACGUUCUUACACCCCUCUACCCGCCGCCGUCGUCAUUUUUACGCCAAAGUAUAUGAUCGCCGAAUACUUGGUAAGUUUGGAAUCGUUUGAAGAAUUAUUGCUCAGGGUCUUACUUAAACUUAUUUUUUUCCGCGAUUGGAUUUUUCCGCGAUUUUUUCGUUUCUCACACGCUUUUAAUGUGUACGUCCGUCCGAUAUAAAACGUUUUAAACACACACGUACACGUACACGCACACGCACACCUGUUCGACUUACGGAUGAGGGGGAGGGGGGUGUAGGGGAUUUGGCGCGGCGUUAUGACCGUUUCCAGUGUUUUUUUUUAACUGGUUUUUUUUUUUUAUUUUGCGACGCGAUUGUUGUCGGGACGUGAGCGUUUAUAAUAUCGCAUCACUACGUACACGUAUAUACCGUUACCCCGCCGUCGUAGCCGAGUCCGUAUAAUAUAAGCAAGUCUAAACAAGCGGCAGUAAGCGUAUAGGCAAUAAUAAUAACGGGAAAAUACGGACAGUAACAACGCAUCACACGCGGUCACAAUACUAAUUAAAUUUAUAUUAUUGUUGUUGUAAUCUGUUUUUCCGACGUCUGCAGUCGGAGUGUACUCAGGCACGACAUAAUAAUCGCGAUGACGCCGAAGAAGAAAAAAAAAAAAGUCGUCGCUAAAAUAUAAUAAAUUAUAUAAAAAUGUUGGUUUUUUUUUCCCCGGGGUUUUAGUGGUUUUUUACUUUUUUUUUUUUUUUUUAUCGCCGCCCGGUAGAGCCAAAAUAAAAAAAUAAAAGCCGAUCGUAUCGCGCAGUUUACGCGUGUUAUUUGCACUAAAUGUUUUUCUCGUGACGGCGAACAAAAAAUAAUGGAAAAGAUGAACUAAAAAAAAAACCGCUGUCAACGAAUUACCUUGGUGUUUUUUUUUUUGCGUUCUUCGUGUAACUUUUUAUACAGACCGGUGUAAAUAUACUAUUUAUUUUUUUUUCAUCUUUUAAUAAGCUAUACUUACCUAAAUACCUAUCUCUUGUUUUUUUUUUUUUUGUAAACCCCUCUACAGUUUGGCAGUAUGGUAGUUUUACGUUUAACUUAAACGUAUACUUAUAAUAAAGCUGAACCGGAGAUAUUCAGUUUUGAAAGUUGUUAUUUUCGUUGAGUAUCAUCGCUUAUACUAUGUAAUAAUCGUUUGGUUUUUCAUGCUAUCAUUCGAUUGUGUCGGAUUGUUAUCCGUCGGAGGUCUUGCGAAUUUCGUAAAGUUAUAAUGCCGGUAAAAUACACGGUGAACCACUUGUCACGAACCAGCGAUUUAUUUUGAGGAUUUUAAGGGGAUUUGAUGUCUGGUUUUUAAUCAUUAUGGAAUCUUUUAAGUUUUAAUGCUAUUUUUCUUUUUUUUUGCGCCUACACCGGCACUGAGUAUAAAACAUAUUACUAGACUCCUCCCCUCUUAAACCUAGAUUCAAACAGAGGAUAUUUUUCUACAAAUUUCGAUACCGCCAUACUAAUAUCGAAUUUACCGUUUGUGAGUUAUAACAGUUAAAAGUUUAGAUCAGACGAGUGGGGAAGGGUUAUAAAAUAAAAGUAAUUAAUAAGUAUAGGAUCGGACAAAGUGGGUAUGCUACGUGAAUUUGGCCUCACCAAUGAAAACGAUUGAUUUCGGAAAAAGUAUGAAGUUGCGUAUAUUUUUAUUUAAAAGUUGCAAAAAGUCGCAAAUUAGUUACAAAAAUACGAAACCGGGUUGAAACGAGAAAGUUCGGUGGAGGGGGAUGAACUUUACGGGCGUUGGAUCAUCCUUAAUUAUGUAUUAUUGCCAUAACGGUGUUCGUUAUUAUUAUUUCACAAAUUAUCCCGGUUUCCUAAAUAAUUUAAGUUUAAGUAUAGGUGCCUAUAAUACCUAAUUUUUGUGAUGGGUACCUACACGAAUUCAUUAUUUAUUUUUUUUUUUCAAUGCAAUUUCAUGAUAAAUACAUUUACAUUGAUAUCGUAAUGUAGACGCUCAGACAUUGAUGUGUACGCAAUAAUUAUUUUUAUAAUAUUAUACAAACGGUAUUCUAUUAUUACCCAUUACAUAUUUGAUAAAACGUAUUCGACGUGCAUUUUAUAUUCUAUGGAUGUAUAAUUAUGUAUUUAUAUAAACGUAAAUCUGCAGUUAAGUUAUUUGUUAUAGGAUUUUUUUUUUAAUACGAGUACCAUUAUUAAUGCACGACUCGGGAAUAUAUUAAAUCGAAUACCGAAAUACACACAAUAGACCUCAUCAAUAAUUUGAUGAUGGUGAUAAUAAUAAUAGAUAACUGUAAAAGCAUUAUAGAUUUAUUUUUUUUGUUGUUGUCACGUCAUUAUUUGUACAUAUUUUAUUUAUUCGCUUUGAAUUAAGUUGUUCGAGUUCGAAGAAAAAAAAAAGAAAAAAAUGUUAUACAAAUUAAACUAUUUUUAUUUCUUUCGUUAAUAUUAAAGUUUUCGCAACAGUUGAGUAAUGCGUAUUAUUUUUGUAUCAACCGUAUACAUAUUUUAUUUUAUUCACAAUUAUUAUAAAAGCGUAUAUUUUGUAGUAUUUUAAAUAGGUUUAUGUACGGACUAUAAAACGACAAUAAAAAUAACAUAAAUGACAAAAUAAAUAUUAGACUUUCGGCGGCAAAUAUAGACGUUACUUCGAAAACUAUAUACAUUAGUUACGCAAGACUUGUCCUCGCUGCGUGUCAGUGUGAGCCACUGCGAAAAGCGACGAAGAAAAACUUUGAGAGGAAGAUAUUAAGAUUCGUGGUCUCCAAUGUGUAAUACAGAAGAGCGGAGAUGGGUAAUAUGAUCGAAUAAGCAGAUUAUUGAGCUUUAAAAAAGGGAAAAAGCGAUUAGGUUCAUCAGGGACACAUGGCUGGAAUGAACAAGGACACGUUAGCGGACGGUAGACCGAUGAAGAGGAUCACGGGCGGAGAAACGGAAGAAACGAGAUCACGCCGGAAAUGGAUAGUGUAUAGUAGUCCGAGAUUAGAAAAUAUCAUAUUAUGAUGGUAGGGAAGAAUGAAAAGAUUCGGUUUUAAUGGCUACACAAGUCUAAAUGGAAUACAAAAAUAAAACUAUAUCGGAUAACCGACUAGAAUCAAAUUCUAGAUAAUCGACUAUAUAUUAUACGAGUGUGUAAAACUGAAGUUCGGCAGCUAUCUUCAGCGAUGUACCGAGAGGGUCAAUUUUAUCGGUUAACUCUUACCCUUCCGUGAUAAUAUGAAAAAUACUUGAAAUUGUAUUAGUUAUACUAUAUAAGUAAUAUUAUCCCAUCGUAAUUUAUAAACAAAUAUUUCGUUGGUUAAUAAAAUACGAUUUGCCCUUUCCGUAUAUUAUAAUAUACGAUCGCCAGAAUAUUAAAUACCCUUGUACAUGUUACGUAUUACAAUGAAUUGCAUUAAAAAGUGCGUUAUUAAAAAAAAUAAAUAUAUAUUCAGAUUGAAAGUUCUCAAAUUUAAAUGAAAAUUAUUAUUUUUUUUUAAAAAAAAAAAAACGACAUAAAUACUAAUUAAAUAUCUAUUACGUUUCCGGGGCUUGACAACUUAAUUUCAUUUGCAAUCCAUACAUAUAUAUAUAUAUAUAUGUAUAUAUAAUAUAAUCAAUCACUGCGUUUAGUUAAGCCGGUAUAAGAUUAUAGCGGAAUACAUUUUAACGUAUAAAAUAGUAUGGGCAAUUUCGUCUUCUUCUUUUUUUAGAAUACGUCAAACUAAUAGAUUUUCGCCGUUAAACACCGUGUAAUCGAAUAGUAUAGUAUUUCAUAAAAAAAAAAAAAAAAACGUACAAUAUUUAAGUCGUGUAUACAACUAUUAAUUUAUACCUACUAUUCGUUGGACGCGGGACGUUUCCGUGUAUCCCAUUCCGAAUGAAUAGAAUGUUUAUUUUAAUAAUCGACUGUACAAUAUAUACAAGAACAUUAUAUUUAGUCGGGUAUUGUAAUAUUAUUUUAUAAGUACGACCAUUAAUCAAAAUAAACUCUAUUCUUCUAAAAUAUUAUACUAUUAUUUUCAGACCCCGGUGAUUUUUCUCGCCGUACACGAAAUGAAGAUAUUACACGAUAGUAUCAUUCGGGUCAUCAUAACAACAACCGCGAUAAUAUAAUAAUACCGCGGCGUUCGAUUUAUCAUCGUUUUCACGGUGAAUUAAAUACGUUUAAAACCGCGUUGUUUUUUUUUUUUUUUUUAUUAAUUUCUUAACCGCCAAGUUUUUACCUGUGAUUUAUACUUCGCGUCUUUCUUUUUUUUUUUUUUCGUGCCAUCGUCAUAUCGAUAAUUGCCAUGGAGCGCGUUUGCGAUUGUUUUGUAAACAAAAAAAAAAAACCCACCAAAAUGAUAUCGCUUUUAAAUGUCAAAUUAUCGGCCGUCCAUUACGGGACGCAUAAUAAAUACGCGUCCGUCAACAUCGAUUCCGUAGUAUAUACCUAACCCUCACAGAUAAAUACCGCCGUCAUCGUUUGUUUAUAUAAUAUACUGCAGAAACAUUAUUUUUCUUUCGAAAUCGCAAAAAAAAAAAAAAUUUACAAAUUAUUACCGUGUCAAUGAUCCGCCGGCCGCCAAUCCGGUGACGGCAAACGCGCUUUCGCGUAACUUCGGUCUUACUGUUUUUUGUCUAAUUAGCUUUUUACGACCCGCGUUUCGUAUAUUUUGUUUCACGGCGUGUCGACUUGACGUUUUCCGGACGGUCUCUUAUCGCUCCUCCUCCUCCUCUUCCUCCGGAAAAAAGAGGGUAUAUACAUAUAUUAUGAUGACAGGAAAAAAACGGCGAAAAGUAUAAUGAAAUAUAUAUACACGCGGCGCGUACGGUGAUAAGUAGACACAACCGACGCCGCCGCCGUAAGUAUACAUAUAUACGUGUAUAUAGGUAUGCCGGAAACGCGAAAAAAGUAAUGGCGUUCUAGAAGAAAUUACAGACGGUGAAAAAAAAGAAAAAGAAAAAAAAACUCUGAGGGGAGAAGACGAGGAGAAUAUAACGGGCGUUCAAAGGGAAUCGAAUGUCAUCCACAGGCUUCGCGCCUCCGCCGAGUGUGUUGACAACGCGCGGUGCAAAAUGAGUUUCAACUUUUAGUGUUUACCGUUGCGGCGCCGCCGUCGUCGUCACGAUAACGCGGACCGCCAUAAUGGGCUUCAUGGAACAAUGUGUGCGAGAAAAACGUCGAGUAGGAUAUUAUUAUUAUUAUUAUUAUUAUUAUUAUCCGUGUACGGUGUAGUAUGUAUACCUAUAUCAGAUGUAUUCGAUUGUGCCCGUGACGGAAACCUAUACGACGACUUUAAACGCGACGUGAGAAAAGAAUAAGUAAAAAAAAAAAUCAUCGUUUCCCCCCCUUCCCUCUCCGACAUUGAAUAUACGCCGGCUGUAUACACGUACGAAUAUAUUAUUAUCGCCUCUUGGCGUUUUCCCGCGAUUUGUCUUCCGACGCGCUCGUCGUGUUUACAUAUACGGUUUUUGUCGUAUUCGUCGACAACGACGUUGCGAUAUAAUCCGUCAAGUCAUUUUUACUGUAUUACGUAUACGAAUUCGGGUAUACGACACAAUAGCCGCCGUGACCUGGCGGAGGGACAUCGAAUCGGGAGAGGGGACUAAUACCUUUUUUACUCGAGAAAUAAGGGGGCAGAGGAGUUUCGACCCCCGGAAAAUUUAUAAAAGCGUUAUCGCCAAUAUGUAUGCGUUUUAAUGUGAUAUGGUUUAAACGAAAAUGUAUCUGUACAUAAAAAGACGGACAUACUUCGCUAGUGGAUGGGUUACUGUUGUAAGUGAGAAGUUGGGAAGGCAGAGGAGAAAUUUAACGUAUACCUGUACGUAACGGUCAACCAUUGCUACCGCAAAACGAUUAAAACUUAGUAUUACAAUUAGAAUAUAACGUGUCUUGGCACAACUUGUGACCUUACUUAUUCAUCACUAUAACAGCUGCAUUUCCCCAAGAGAAUUUUGAGUGAAUGUAUAAUAAUUAUAUCGUUAUAGUGUCUUGUUUUUUGUUGAUAUUAGUCAUCACGGCUAACCGCUUGAGUCUAUUUUCUACCACAAUGCUCUUUCUUAAAUCGUUCGUAUACGGUUCAGCGGAGAAAACGUUCUUUCGGGUGUGGAAGAAAUAGGUAUAGGUAAUAGGAAACGUGGUUAAAUACGCCCCAAUGGAGUGACUGUGGCUAAGGCUUAUAAUAUUUGUGUUGUUACUGCAGUUUUGUAUCCAUCUUAGUGUUUUGACUAAUUAUUUGUCAUGUUAUGAACGUAGGACCGAUGAAAAUGUUGCCCCACCCUAAGAAAAACUGAAAUGAAGACGCCUCUGGGUUCGGCUUGGAGAUAUUUCAAACGUUUACGUAACAAAUUAUUAUUGUUAUUUGGGUUUAUCUUUAUUCGAUCACUCGGUCACGAUCGGUUGUCAUCUCUGUUAUAAAUCCAUCGUCGAAAUUUCCCGAUUUGGUCCAAUUCUCGAAGCUUCCACGUCCUUAUUUGACCAUUCGUUUUCCCAGCAUACCCUCAUUCUUUAUAGAAGUAUUUUCCAUAUAGUGAGUUUUGGCCGUCUUUUUAUUUUGACGAUCUCUAAAUUAUUAUGUUCUCCGAUCAUUAUCUUUUUUAGUUCUCUGGUUUUAAAUCUUCUCCGUUAUCCGGUCGCUUUAUCUUUUACUGGUCCAAAGGUGUUCUGAAAUAGUUUUCUUUCGGUUUAAUAGUAAUAUAAUCCGAUUAUAUAUUGUGAUUUUUUGUUAAAAAUGAGUCAGGCGUUCGUUUGUCGACGGAUUCGGAUAAACGCAUAGAGUAAAACUCUAAUAAAUAGAUUUUAUUUCAAUACAAUUGUUGUUUUGGAAUUUAAAUAAAAAAAAAAAAUAUCGAUAAAUUUCCGUUUUUCCGUUUUGAUUUUAUCGAAGCGAAACUAGUGGUUUUUAAACAUACAGCAAUACUUGACGAUAUUCAUAACGGAUUUAGUGAUGCAUAUCAUAUUUUUUCUUAAGCCAUAUUAUACGUAUAAAUAAUUAAUUCAUAUUUACUUACGCGCGUAAUAAUAUUAUAAUAUGCAUUUUUUUUUUUUUUUUACGAAUUUUAAAAACCAUUAAUUAACUUCUUUAUAACACGUAUUAUACAUUACGCUAUUAUAUUAUUAUCGUACAUAAAUUAAUAUAUUCACGCGUUAUUUAAAAACAAAAAAUCACCAGUGAUAAAAGGGGUAGGAACCUACGUUCAAAGAUUAGGUUUAAAUUUUAUUUAAAAGUUUGAAAAGCAUAUGCACAAAAUUAUAAUGUUAUAUUUCUGAAAUAAAACGAUUUGUAAAAGUAGCGCGAUACUGCUGAACAGGGUGCCGCUGUUUCCGACGGGUAGUAUAGGAAGGGAGUAUAAAAAAAUACGUCAUAGAGAAUUGAAUUUUUAUUCGUACGCGACAAUAAACUAUCGUUAACGCAAAACGAUUCUGGACAGAGUAAAUAUAAUCUUAUUUUUUUUCUUUGGCGAGUAAUCCAUAAAUCGAAAAAUUCAAAAUAACCCUAAUAUCGAAAAAUUACUCCCGACGCACCGACUAAAUUGAAAAUGCUUUACGAAACAGUUCGUACAAGUGUUCGGACUAAAAUGUCUGCGGGUUUCGAAACGCUGUUUUACCAACAAAAAAAAAACCUAACAAGUACACUUCUGGCUUCGCUCAGAAACUAAAAAAAAAUUUAAUAAAUGGCUAGGAUAACGAGUUGUUCUUCUAUAUUAUAUAAUUAUAGCUAGAGAACCCUAGCUAUUAUUACAUAAUAAUCAAACGAAUUUAUUAUAGAAGACUGCACUGCACACACGCGCGGAUUCCUAUAAUAUACCUAAGUAAAUAACAAUGUGUAUAACCGGCUUUUGUGACGGUAUUAUAUGUGCGGCCAGUGAAAAGCAAAGUUUUCUAAAGAACGUGCCAGAGCAGCUACCGUUUUGUAAGCUCGAAUCUGGCGUUUCUCGUUGUCGUCGGCUUUGUUCCGGCGAAAUAUUAUACACACAUAGCUAGGCAUACGUAUACAUUAUUAUAUAUUUAGCGCGAUUCUACGCUAUAAAUUAACGAAGAAUUAGUGAAGUUAUUUCUACGACAGUGAUAUAUUCUCGAUCUAUUAUAUACGUAUAUACUACACACACACACACACACACACACACACACACACACACACAUACACACACGCGCGCAAGCCCUUAAGCCGGUUUAAUGAUUGUCGGCGGAUAAAAGUCCGAUUCACUACACAUACAAUGCGUAUAUCCAAUAAAUAAUUAUAUAUAUAUACACGUAAUAAAGCAUCGGGUCCAAUUAAAAAAAAAAAAACGAAACCCACAAACGAGAUAAAAUAUAAGUAAUAUACUGUACAAGGGUUAUUAAUUGUGUUAUUGUGCGUAUAUAUACCUAACUCUGUAUACACGCGUUUCAUACAACGACAACGGAGUGCGGUGGUGGUAUAUUUUAAGGGUGAAUAGGGUUGUUAAUUUGAAUUGCUAUUAUGUUGAAACUUUGUUUAGUUUGCGGUACACCCGUAUACAAUCAUAAUACUCGUAAUUUAAAACGUGUUUUCAUUAUUAGGUAUACGAAAAUUUCAAAUAAUAAUAAUAAUAAUAAUAAUUACAGACUAUAAAUACAUACGCGCAGUUAUCUUUCGGACGAAUGUAAGCGGCAAAGUCGUCGUAAUACGAAAAAAAAACAAACGACCACUGCGAUAAAAAAACGUUUCGAGUAAAUUUCAUUAUAAUAUUAUAGUUUUUGAAAAAUCGCACACGGUCGCUUAACAGGACGUACGUACCCCUGUAAAUUUGUUGGUAAAAUUAACCUGUAGAAUUUGCCGUAAUAAUGAUAUUGCGUACGCAUGACGUGUGUAGUGGCGUGAAUAUUGAGUGGGCAAGGUGGGCAAACCUCACGGGCUCACGACUGAUGAGGGCCCUAGCAGUGAAUUAAAAGCGCAGUGCGUGUAUGCACCUGUACGCGAUAAAAAAAAAAAACACGUAGAGCUGUAAUCGUAUAUAUUAUAUAAAUAAUAUCGUUACGCGGGUGUAGACUAAUAUACUGUAGGACGUAUACCGCCCAGGUGUAUAAUUUACACGAUUCGAACCCGAAAAUUAAACCGUUUCGCCGCGGCCUUCUAAAAUGACGACGUAAUAAUAAUAUAAUGUUAUACUCGGGUGCGGUAGGUAUACACUCGAAUAAUAACAAUCAAAGUAUAACGCGCCGAGAGAUUUCUUCGUAUAUAAAAGUGUCGUUAAGUUCCGUAUCGCGUGCCGGACGGCAUUUUAAAAACCCGCGCGAAAAACUAAACGCCUCCACCGUCGCGGCAACGAAAUAAUGUUUUAUCGUCGUUUUAAUAAAUCGCCGUGGAUUGAAACGCGCGCCGCGGGGAUAAUAAUACACACACACACACACACACACACACCCGAAUUUUCCCCCUCCCCCGUACGGUUUUAUAACUGUGCCCUGGUCGCGUAUUGGCGUUCUGGGAUCCGUUUCGGCACCGUUCGGAUUUACCGUAUCGUGUUGCUGUUGUCGAUUUCGGUUGCCCUUUGUCUCGGGGCUUAAUGCCGUAAAUCGAUCGAAAAUCAUCGCGUCGGGUACAUCACGGCCUUACGAGCUAAAAACGAAUCCCCGACAAAUUGUUCUUUAAUCGUCCGUUUUAUAAGAAUUGAUUCUGAGCCCGCCGAGCCGCCGCUUCGAAAACGCAUUGUUAAAAGGGAUACAAAAUGUCAUUUCCGCUCCCGCGCGGUCCAAUCGCAAACGGAGAGCGCUUCUUGAGAGGUGUUGGAAUGUAAUGCUGCCGGGCUGUCUAUAGUAUGAACCAGUGAUUGUCAAUUGUUUACGGAUCACGACCCUCUUAUAUUUUUUUUUCACGUGAGACGACCCUUCGAAAAUUGUUUAAUAGAACUCGAAUAGUACGAUAUACCAUACAGUAUACACGAUACUUAUGGUUUUUUUGCGACCCCCUGACACGUGACCCCUUUGUGGGUCGCCGCGACCUCCGGUUGAAAACCACCGGUAUAUAAACGAUCUAUAAAAACAGUUCCAGUUAUCCUCUUUAGAAAGAAGUCCUCUGACUCGCACCAACUUGAACGUGUUUAGUGUAAAUUCCUCAAUUCCGGUCCGUUUGCUUUACGAUAAUAAAACACGCACCGCACUAUUAUUCACACCCGUCCUACUCCGCUUGAAGCUCAGUAGUUAUCCGAUAGAAGAGUCUCAACCUGCAACAUAAAUUUCCUCAACAAACUCAUAAAAGGUUCCAUAUUAACGCACCCGAACUUCUUGCCGAGGUUAGUUUUAGGAUUCCCGGUAGAUUCUUCGGGUUAUCCGCUCCCUAUAUACUACGCAUUUCUCUACGUCUCACUAACUAUGAUACGUCUGGCAAACGAGAACCUCUCUAGCCCAUAGUACCUUUCUAUGACUAAAAAACCCGACGUGAUUCCAAACUACGUACGAUUUUUCUUCGUGUCACUGUGCGUUGGGCAACCGCCUGUAAUGUAUGUAAAAUAAAAAAAUAAAUACAUAACAUUGUGACGUGGGAUCGAUAGACCGUCGUCGUCGGGUAAUUCGCUUUACAUCGUGCCGGUAAAGUCACGCGCCGUGUCGUGUAAACGUUUCGGUGCGAAUUUACCGCGAUUGCGGUUUUACGCCGUAAAAUUCGACGGAGACGACGACGACGGCGGCGAGAAUUGGAACGUUACGACCGGCGCUGAUACAAAUGUCUGUUGAGUUUUGCGGUUGAAAUUAUCUGAAAUAAUCGUGCGUAAUUCGUAGAGUCGUCUACUUCUUCGUGAACUCGACUCGACUAACGGGAAUCCGAAAAGCCAAUUUCUAAUAGAAAAAUCAAACUUUUCCUCGUCAAAUGAAUUCUCAUAGUUUUUUGUAAUUUCGGGCCGUCGCAGAGAGGGUGUGUAUAACCCCUAUAAUCUCACUCUCCGCAAACCACCGGCUAUUAAUGUACGUCAUAACGACAUGUGUAAACCGUGGUGAAAAACCGAAAAGUACACGUCGCGAUGUUAUCGGUUCGAUUGUUGUAAUAUCCAUGACCAGUUAUCAUUUUGUUUGUGCCGCCCGGCAUAUAAGCGUCGGGAGCGAGUGAAAUGUGCGCGUGUGCGGCAUUUUGGUCGAUCGCCGGUUUUCCGCGAAACCCUACAGGAUCGCGCGCACACACACACGUUCCUGCGUAUAAUACAAAAAGCAUAUCUGGAAAAAAAAAAUACUAAAAUUACUAAAACGAGUCGAACAAAGUAAAACGGUGUUCCGGGGGACGGGGGCGUCGUCGUCGGCGGGGGAAAAAAAUAUCGCCGUAAUAAAAUAAUACAAUAAUAUCGUGUAUACGUAUAUUAUGAGCGGACGCGUUUCGAUCCAAUACGAAUACGCCGGCAAUAUAAUAGGGGAGAAAGAAAAAAAUAUAUCGAAAACCGACCGAUGCGACCGAACAGGACGACGGCGGGACUCGUACAAGCGGUUUUUCGUGCCGAGGAAUAUCGUAUAUUACUGUACGUUUUAUAUACAAUAUAAUAAUAUCCGUCUACGGCGACGGGGUUUUUUUUUUUUUUUACAGGUUUUUUUUUUCUUAUUAUUAUUUCGCUCUCAGCGGACGCUUUUUUCUCCGUCUCCGUCUCUGUCUCUCCGUUCGGAACGUGCCGUCGACGUCAAAACGCCGCAAAGUGUCCGUGCGUGAACCGUGUCACAGCCGCGCGCGCCGUUUCCCCGAACGUUACCGGUCCAUUGUUCUCGCGGACCGUCGGUAGCGGCACGUUUUCGCCGUCGUCGACCGAGCCCGUCGUUUCGAGUGCCCCGGCCGCUUCAUUCUGUUAUCGCUGUCGCGUUAUCGUCGUCGCGGCCGUUUGCGCGUGAAUUUUCGACGGGUUUCGAAGGGAGGUGGGGAGGGGUUCCGUUUUUUCGCGCGGCUCGGCGAGAGUUGGCACCGUCACGCUCUCGCGCCUCCGGUCAAAGCGGUUCCCGACUUCUUUUAUCCCGCCUCCCUCGCCCCCGUGUCCCUUUUCAAUGGCGUGCCCAGGAAUUGUCGAUCGGAGGGGAUGUAACGAAUAAAAAUCGUGAAUAAAAUCGUCUUCCCUAUCCGAUUCGAAUAUGGGAGUUGGUGAUUUAAAAGCCGGUAACAUCAAGCUUUUCCUCGGAAAUCGUUUGAAAUUUAUGUUUAGUUUCGAUAUUAGAUUACUCAUAUUUUGUUGUAUUUUUAAGCCGAUGGGGGGAUAUAACCCCAACCCUCCUCCCCACUCUGCGCGCGCCACUGCCAUUUUUAACAACACGUUAAAACCUAAACACUUAGCUUGCUCGUAAUCUUUUUCGAUUUUUUCCCCGAAAUUGUAAAAUACAAAUACCAAACGUUCCUUGAAAAAACGCCGGGAAAAUAAGUCGAAGACCGCACGUGGCGUCCAUAGAAAAUGAUCGUGCAUACGCGGUAAUCUCUUGAGUAGUAAAAGUCAUUCGUGUAACGCGCAGUUCAAUCGAAAUUUCCUUGUCGAAAACCAGACUCCCCCGAAAUUGACGAUUGGUCGAAAAGCUGUUUUAAAGACAGACAAGAACAAAAAAGUCACUCUUGUAACGGAAACUAUAAUUAAACCGAUUUUCUGUAUAAAGUGCACGAGACUGGGACAUUUUAAAUCUAACUACCUCCCCCGCGGCGCCGAGGACUCUAUACGUUUUCUAUUCGUACGGGUCCGCGUCUCUCGGCGACAUUUUUCGACGGUGCGCGUAAAAUGCCGAGAAUUAAAUCCCCGGGAUUAUCGUGCGGUUCUUUUCCCCCCUCGUUUCUCUAUCGACGACGCGUAAGUAUGUGUAUAGGUAGUCCGGGGAAAAGUCUUGAGAACGUCGCGAGAUACAUAUAUAUUUAUAUACAUGCGGAUAGGUACCACAUUAUAACAUUUUCGGUACGGUUUCGGGUACGCGGAUCCGUCUCGUCCGCCCUUUAAAACCGUCUCUCUGAGGAAAUAACAUCAUACAAAUAUAAUAUAUACUUACGACGACGUCAUCCCGUGAAGCAGACGGGAGCAUAUAUAUUAUUAUAAUAUUGUUUCAAUAUAUCGUCAAUUCCGUUCGCUCCGUUGAACUACACGUAUACGAUAUGCAAGCUGUAUGCGAGCGUAUGUAUAGUGAUGCGAUCGUGUAAAAAAAAAAAAAAAAUGAAAAAAAAAAAUAGAAGAUCGUGUUCGCGCAUCUUCAAAGGGGACGCACGGACGAGUGUAUUACAAUAAUAAUAAUAAUACGCGUCGCGUGUGCCGAAAAAAAAACCAAACUAAAAACCUAAGAAAAAUAAAACGAAAUAUUCUCGGGUUUUAUUUCCCGUCCCUUCCCGGUUUUUCGGGUUAUAUUAUACUCUAUAUUAUAGUGUCUGCGUGUCUAAGAGUUUAACACUACGACAAACUCAAAAAAGAAAAUAUUCAGGGAAGUGAUUUAAAAUAUAACCUAAAUUUAACUUAGUCGAAUAUAAAUUGUACGAAAUAAAAUAUGUAUGAAUAAAAUUCUCGUUGUAACUUAACCUAACCUUUUCUUACUAAUCUAUUAUGUUAAUAUACACCAAUUGAUUUCAAUUAAUUUAUUUGAUUCACUUUAGAACUGGUCGAUAUGUUAAUCCAAAUUUGUUAUUUUAAAACGAAAUAUAAGAGCUCAUUUGUGCGCUUGAAUUGAAAUUGUUUUGAAAAAGUGAAAAAAAUUAACGGUGUCGUUAAUUCAUUUUUGAUUAUUUUUGAGUUGUCGCAGUCUUGAACUGGAUAGUCGAAUCAUAUUCUAUUUUCUGCAAUAAUUUAUCAUAUCGUCGUAUUUUUCCGAGGUUUUUUUUUUUUUUAUUUAUUGUUAUUUUUGUCGCCCGCGCUCGAGGCUAUCGGCAUUAACGACGUAAGUAAUGCUAUAGCCGGCGUAUACCGAAACGCUGAUAAUACUAAUAGCGUUUCGGGUCGUAAUCUCGACGAUUGUGUCCAAUGAAAUUUUAACCGUGUCGGUGAGCUCGAGGCGACUGCGACGCGAUUAGUUUAACGUAACCGACUACACACGCCGCCGUCAAGUUCUAUAGCCUUUGAUAAUACUGAUAUAGUUACGCUCGCAGUCGUAUUAAUAUGUCUUUACAGUCCCUGGGAAUACGGGCUUUAAUCAAUUAUUGGCGUUUUUUUUUUUUUUUUCUUUUUUUUAACAAUAACUGUGUUUUUUCCCUUUGCUUUUCGGUCCGAACGGCGUAAGCGUAUAAUACGAAUAUCGUGUAACGCAAGUAGAAAAUUAUAAUUACUCGUUUUAACGACGCAAUUUUUGUGAAAAAAGCGUAAGUCGUACGAUUUAUAAUUGCAUGACUCGAGCCCUAUAAGAACUAUGCGUUUAUAUGGCACAGGUAUUCGGUAAUUUUCAAUAACCUGCAGGCGAACAAAUAAAACCUUCGCUUAGGUAUACUGUUUUCGUUUACUGAUUAUACGGUUAUAUCCAUUGAUAAAAUAAUGUAUAGUGAACAAAAUAUUUUCGCGAUAUUGCAACCAAACAAUGUGUCAAACUAUUUCUCGAAAACAUCGCCAAAAAAAUUGGUUAUACAAAUUAAAAUCAUACCGACCUAUUAACUAAAUGCAUAUAUGGUGCCACAGCUAUAGAAAAAGAGAUACGCAAUAGGUUUUAGCGUAGAGUGUGCGGAUAAUUUCGUUAAUGGAUUUCGGUAAAAUUUGUUUAAAUGCCAAUCCCUCCCUUACAGAUGUGACCAAAUAUCCGCCGCCUAUAGAGCACGUGUAAUAGUCAUUCGCUUUACUGCGGGUUUUCGAAAACUCUUAAGGGAAAACACUAUCGGGGUGCAACCUGCAGUAUAUAGUCUGCAUGCAUAUUUUCGCUCAUUUGAAAUUCAUAAGAGAGCGAGAGAAUAUUCCGCUGCUGCCGCUAUUGCUGCAGGGGUACUUUAUAGGAAUGCACUAUUUUUUUCUUUUAAUACUUUUUUCCACUCUGUCCAAUUGAUUCGGUCUAUACUCUCGGUCGGUAGUUUUUUUAUUCUCUUCGUAUACUUAUAACGCUAUACCAGUAUGUAACUCGGCCGUAGCAGUUCAUUUUCCCGUGGCAAAGGGUCGAAAAAUGGGUGGUUACCGAGUUUAUUUAUUUUUUAUUAUUAUUUUUUUUUUUUUUACGAGUGAUAUAGUAAAAUGUGUUUGGCGCGCGCGAUGGGCGUAUAUAUGGUAAUAUGAUGGUAAUGUUAUAGGCUUAAAUAAAAUUUGCAAAUAUUUCGUCUCCGAGGGUUCGUCCGCGGCGUAUAAUCAUUUUUUAUUAAACGUCGCCACUCAAAAUAAUAGUAAGUUGUUCGUCAUUUUUCCGUUAUUAUAACAUGUAAAACCCAUCCAAUUAAGUUAAUAUUAUACAAUAUAUAUAUAUAUAUAUAUAUACAAUGCACAUUAUUAAUGGUUUUUUUUUUUUUUUUAUUGCAGGUAAUUAUAAAACAAGUUGUUUGUUAAAUAUGGUGCAAGAAAGUACAUGUACGCAUUUCAAACGACUCACUAUAUAAAUAUCAGAGUGUUAACACGGACGAAACGGUGAUGUAUCGUAGAAUUUUUUUGUUUCAUCUAUUUGUGAUAAUAUAUGCUUUGCGCGAAGCCAACGGGGCUAAUCAAGGCCUAUUAUGGCUUAUUGAGAAAUCAAAUUUUUACCGCAGAAAAAUAAGAAAACUUGUGCUGCGCAAUGUCUGUUUUAUUUUUUCGAUAUUAUAAAUACAAAACCGAGUUGCAUAAUGCAAGUUCUCUUUGUCGGAAUAAAGCAAACGUUCGGUUUUUCAACUAAUUCCGUAGCCCCAGUAGUUUUUGACGGCGGUUUUCGCAAACAUUUUUGUUAACUUCACAACAACACAGCGAAUAUACUUUUGAUAAUCACACGGGGCUAUACUAUAAUUCUAUUGGUAAACGUAUUUGAAUAUUUUCGAGUCGACAUUUCAUUUUUCUAAACAUUUCAAAAGGUAAAUCAGCCUAUACACAACAUCCCGAAUACGGCUCGUCUUCCCGUCCUUCAAAUCGAUAACGUGAUCAUAAACAAUUUUAUAUAUUCCGCGGGUUAACAUAUUAUGACUAGGGCUGUAGGGACUUCAUGGCCUUAAAAUGAUCAUUUCGAUCAUUUUAAGGUCAUUUCGUGUUUGCAAAACGGAGAAUUAUGCCGUUAAAAUAUGAUAAUAUGA